rnacentral:rRNA from 1 species
UACGCAGGCGGAAAAUUAAGUCAGUGGUGAAAUCCUGCAGCUUAACUGUAGAACUGUCAUUGAUACUGGUUUUCUUGAAUAUAGUUGAGGUAGGCGGAAUGUGUAAUGUAGCGGUGAAAUGCUUAGAUAUUACACAGAACACCGAUUGCGAAGGCAGCUUACUAAGCUAUGAUUGACGCUGAGGUACGAAAGCGUGGGGAGCGAACAGGAUUAGAUACCCUGGUAGUC